GCUGGGGUAGCUCAACUGAUAGAGCACGAGACUCUUAAUCUCAGGGUUGUGCGUUCGAAUCCCGUGUCUGACC